UACGUAGGGUGCAAGCGUUGUCCGGAAUUAUUGGGCGUAAAGAGCUCGUAGGCGGUCUGUCGCGUCGGCUGUGAAAACCCGGGGCUCAACCCCGGGCCUGCAGUCGAUACGGGCAGACUAGAGUUCGGUAGGGGAGACUGGAAUUCCUGGUGUAGCGGUGAAAUGCGCAGAUAUCAGGAGGAACACCGAUGGCGAAGGCAGGUCUCUGGGCCGAUACUGACGCUGAGGAGCGAAAGCGUGGGGAGCGAACAGG
rnacentral:rRNA from 1 species